rnacentral:rRNA from 1 species
UACGAAGGGGGCGAGCGUUGUUCGGAUUUACUGGGCGUAAAGGGCGCGCAGGCGGCUUUGUUUGUCAGGCGUGAAAGCCCCGGGCUUAACCUGGGAACUGCGCUUGAUACGGCAGGGCUAGAGUUCGGGAGAGGAGCGUGGAAUUCCCAGUGUAGAGGUGAAAUUCGUAGAUAUUGGGAAGAACACCGGUGGCGAAGGCGGCGCUCUGGACCGAGACUGACGCUGAGGCGCGAAAGCGUGGGGAGCAAACAGG